AGAUCUCUAACUCAAUGAAGUUUAUCAAUAUAACUCAUUUAUAAUCAUGUAUUAUCCUUAAUAUCCACAUCAAUGAUUUUGGAAGAUUUCUCUUCAACCUUGGACUAAUUUCCACAACAUGCACCAUACCACAGAUUGAGAAUGUUUGCUGAGUGCAGCGCAGAGAAAGGAUGAAUAUCACCCUUUAAGUUUUUUUUUUUUUUUCUUGUUUGAGUUAAUGGCAAUUUAGUGGUGUUUAGACAUAAAUCUUAAAAAAUGGUUGUAUAGUGUUGUGCCAACUAUUAAUACCAUUAGAUUAUAUAAAGCACUUACACUUUAUGAAUUUCACAUAACUUUACGAACGGCUUCCUCACUUUAGAGGAGCCGAAUCCAUAAGAAAAAGGGCAUGUGACAUUUCAAUCCAUAAGACUAGUAGUGAGAGUUUGAAUUGUAAUUAGAGGAGUGUAAAGUAUGGGUCAUCAUUUGGCCCGCGGGCCUAAAAGCCAGUGAGUGGCCCGUUGGUCAUCUCGGCCCGGCCCAUAAGACAUGAGGCCGGGCUAGGGAGUAGGGUUCAAAGCCUCAACCUGGCCCAUAGCCCGGCCCGUUACAUGCCCAUCAAAGCCCGUCGGGCUUGGCCUGACCCUAAAAAGCCAACCCAAAAGCCCUAUCAAUUGUUUUAUAAAUAUUUUUUUAUGAAGUUAUUAGUUAAAUAUGUGAAAUAAUUAAUGCAUUAAGUCAUAUUUUAUUAGGAAAAAGACCAUUUGCACAAAAUAGAAAAAGUCAAACCCCAUUUCAAUGAUAAUCUUUUCUCUUAGUCCAUUUGAAUACAAGGUACUUAUUUUAAGCCCAAAUACACAAAUCUUUAUUAAAAUAUAAUAAAAUUAUAUUUUUAAAGACUUUUUUACCCUUAGCUUUUACUUAAAGAGAAAAAGUGAAAAAGAUGGAGGGAAGACUUUGCCGGAAGCACACCGGGCUCUGGCGCCAGUCACCGGCAGCCGCAUUUCGGUCGCCGGACUCCGAACUCCGGCCGCUGGAUUCCGGUCACUAGUGACCGGAAUUUUUCGACGGCCGGAAAAUUGCCGGCAUCCGGUGGCCGGAAUUUUCUGGAAAUCUCAUUGGAUUUUUUUAAAUGCUAUCGGAAUUUACGUGAUCUUAACCCAAAUACAAAAAAAAAAAUUUCUACCCCUAGUAAACUUUUAACUGGGGUAGUAAACUUGCAAAACAGUAUUUUCAAGACCAUAAUACACACUAGUAAAGAUUACUACCCCUAGUAAACUUAACUGGGGGUAGUAAA
rnacentral:lncRNA from 1 species